GUCUACAGCCAUACCACCCUGGAACGGGCCUGAUUUCGUCUGAUCUCAGAAACUAAGCAGGGUCAGGCCUGGUUAGUACUUGGAUGGGAGAAUACAUAGGAAGAAGCAAAAU
rnacentral:rRNA from 1 species